ACUAUGAGAAAAACAACUAGACCUAACAAGAUUAAGUGAAUACCUAAAAUUGUGGUCAUUUUAUUUCGAUCUUUCCA
rfam:Nicotiana sylvestris Nsyl_contig100097, whole genome shotgun sequence.